UAUAAAUGAGUUUCACCUAAUCGUUACAAGUUUAUAUUCAUGAGUAGUGAAGGUUGUUUAUCAUAAUCGCGUUAAUUGAAUUCUUGACAAUUGUAUCAUGCAUUCAUAGUUAUAAUUGCCUUGUCAACACUUAUGAUUUUCAUUAAACGUAAUAAUCUCUGAUUGUAUCUCUAUUAUGCAUUCAUAUAGGGGACUUUUACAGAAUGAUUUGGGUUGUCGCAUGCAUUCAUCCAAUUCAAUGAGUAAAGG
rnacentral:lncRNA from 1 species